GAUGAAGAACGUAGCGAAAUGCGAUAAGUAAUGUGAAUUGCAGAAUUCAGUGAAUCAUCGAAUCUUUGAACGCACAUUGCGCCCGCCAGUAUUCUGGCGGGCAUGCCUGUUCGAGCGUCAUUUCAACCAUCAAGCCCCAGGCUUGUGUUGGAGCCCUGCGGCUGCCGCAGCCUCCCAAAACCAGUGGCGGGCUCGCUAUCACACCGAGUGCAGUAGUUUACUCUUCGCUCAGGGCGUGUGGCGGGUGCUAGCCGUAAAACCCCCAACUUCUCAAGGUUGACCUCGUAUCAGGUAGGAAUACCCGCUGAACUUAAGCAUAUCAAUAAGCCGAGGA
rnacentral:misc_RNA from 1 species